UCUACAUACGCCCGUCUCUCUAUCCCCACGAGAACACGAACCAUCCCGGCCACCCGGCGCUAGGUUCCCUCCGCCGCCGCGCCCCAUCCCUUCGCUCCCAGCAACCCUCUCCACCCUCUCCCAUCCCCAGUCGUCGUCGUAGCCCCUCGCCGGCGUUCGAUAUCCAAGACGGAGCCUCGGCCGACUGCUCCUUGGAGCACGCCGCCCGCCGGUGGAUGCCCUGAUUCUGCGCGACCCCGCCGGAGACUCACCUCGCCAACUUGGCGCCUCCUGCAGGAUCUCCGCCACCGCCUAGCGCUUCUGUGCGCAAGGAUUUCGACGCCUCUCCCUGGCCCUCCUGGCGGACAGCCUCCAGCCCACACAAGCUUCCCUGUUCUGGCUCUGUCGGCUACCAUGGUUGAGUAGAGCGAGGAGAUCGAGAGGGGAAAUAGUCACUUGAUUUUUGCGGAUUAUGUUGAGCAUGGAGAUUGAUCUUAACGUUUUGGUUGUCCGCAGAUUCAAUGAUGACAACACGCACACCUUUCCCUGAUGCUUGGGCAAAGGCAUGUAUGUCCGAUGUGCAGGCAAAACUUUAUAGAUGCAGAUUACAUACAUUAGAAAUUGCCAACUCGAUGGAUGAUAAAUACUAUGACUUGGGACUCAGAAAAAAGAUCAACACGUAGAUGCAGAUUACAUAGAUCAGGACUUGCUAACUCGGCGUAUGACACAUACUAAACGACAUCAACACGUAGGUGAGACCAUUGACUAUUAGAGCAAAUCAACACAUGUUUGAGCUACAACGGAGGUCACUUAAAUAAAUGUAACGUGAUUUACCCCUUUAUUUCUUUAUCUCGAGAGACAAUGUAGAUAUAUGCAUGUGUUUACAUUUGUUGUGGUUGCAUGUAUCCUUGACUUUUGUUAGGCUGGGGACAAGCGUAUCAAUUUGUAUAAUGCUAAUAAUGUUGUCACAUAAUAGUGUAAUGUAUGUGUUAUUGUGAUGUUAUCCAGUCAAACUCUUUAGAAAACAAUGGUCGCCGCCAGAAGUUGGCUGCGGUGAUUGUUGAAUAUAGAUGGGAUCUUCUUUGAGGAAAUCCAAACAAGCGGCUGGGGAUGUAUCUCGCGGGACUCGAUGGUUACAGUUUGGGGAGCAGCAGAGUUGCUUGCUAGCAUCUUUUGUUCUUGCAUCUACGAACUGAUGAUGCUUUACUUGCUGUUGUUUCCCGUGGUAGUACAUUAUGGCUCACUGUUGUUUAUGCUCGGACAGCAGCAGAGGAAUAGACUCGGCAAGGAAGGGAGCUACUCCAGUGUAGUCGGUGGAAUUGACUGGCAAAGUAAAUCAUGAAGCUCCUGGUUGGACCAAGAGGCUAAGAAUUGGGGUUGCACCUCCUAUAACAGUCAGUUUCAUCGGUGGCCUGCCAACAACACUGGUGAAGGAAUGAGGGUGGCCCGAGACCGAUAACAGGGGGCUCUUGAACUGGCAAAGCCAGAAGCCACCAUCGCUUCAUUGUCCCCGGAGAUCGUUUGGUGAUGUCCGAUGGAUAUCACGUGACGGAGUGGAGACGCACACUCCCCUGCCCCAACUUUGGUGGCGCCACCUACCAAUGCGGGGUACAGUCCUGCCUGACCCGGCCAACAUCUUGAUUGUAAAUUUCUCUCACCUUCUAUCUCGUGUUCAUGUGGUCGUAUUGAUUUUGCCUUUUGAGAAGUGUUGAAAGAAGAUUAUGUGCUUCAGACGACUGAAUGUCCAGUAAUAUCAUCAACCUUCAGCCAGCAGCGGCUCCGAACUCUAUCACCUCAAAUGGUUUAGCAUAGAUCGAUGUUUCCUUUCACAUGCUUUCCGAGCCAAGUUUCAGCUGGUCUCGACCCAGCAUGUAUCUUCACUUUCAGUAACAAACUGUUGACUAUGAAACCGAGAAAGACCUGAGCCUUCUGAUAGGCUGGUGUUUUUACUAAGAUUUUUUAUUCUAAAAAUAAG